rnacentral:rRNA from 1 species
ACGCUCGACACCUACGGGAGGCAGCAGUGGGGAAUAUUGCACAAUGGGGAAACCCUGAUGCAGCGACGCCGCGUGAGUGAAGAAGUAUUUCGGUAUGUAAAGCUCUAUCAGCAGGGAAGAAGAUGACGGUACCUGAGUAAGAAGCCCCGGCUAACUACGUGCCACAGCCGCGGUAAUCUGAGCGGCUGGCAAGGC